rnacentral:rRNA from 1 species
AUUGAACGCUGGCGGCAUGCCUUACACAUGCAAGUCGAACGGCAGCACGGGAGCAAUCCUGGUGGCGAGUGGCGAACGGGUGAGUAAUAUAUCGGAACGUGCCCAGUCGUGGGGAUAACGUAGCGAAAGUUACGCUAAUACCGCAUACGAUCUACGGAUGAAAGCGGGGGACUCGCAAGAGCCUCGCGCGAUUGGAGCGGCCGAUAUCAGAUUAGGUAGUUGGUGGGGUAAAGGCUCACCAAGCCAACGAUCUGUAGCUGGUCUGAGAGGACGACCAGCCACACUGGAACUGAGACACGGUCCAGACUCCUACGGAGGCAGCAGUGGGAUAUUGGACAAUGGGCGAAAGCCUGAUCCAGCAAUGCCGCGUGAGUGAUGAAGGCUACGGUGUAAG